rnacentral:lncRNA from 1 species
CCCAGCUUUGCCCCUAAACUCUAGGUAUAUUACAGAGUUAAUUAUAGUUCUUGUUAUCUCUUGUUUUGAUGUUAUCUUCUUUCUAAAUUCUUCACAUCACCUGCCUUGUCUACCGGGGUUGGUACAGAUAAUUUUACAUUUACAUGUUAUUCAACAAAUAUGGAACAGAAUAGUGAAACACUUCUACAGAGUUUUACAAAACACUGUCAGUGUCAGGAAGGUAUUUUUUUGCAGCAGGAUAUUAAUGGAA